UUUAUCUUAUUGGAAGAACCUCUGCAGACACAAGGACCCAGCAUCCUCUGUGCUGCUCAGACUGCAGGUUCUGUUCCAGGAUCUUCAUCCAAACAACAGUUCUGAGCUGAUUGUGAGACAUCAACAUGAAGUUCUGUGUAGCAGCUCUGCUUAUAGCAGCUUGUCUGUUUGUGCCCUCCAUACCGGCAAGUCCUGCAAUGCGUGGGUGUCCACCUCCAUGGCGUGGGUAUUGUGGUGACUAUGAGUGCUACACGAACAAAGACUGCAUACGUGGUAUAUGCUGCCAUUAUGACUGUGGUUCCGUAUGCGUACCACUAAAAGGCCCGCCAGAUUAGCCAAAACUUUGUGGAAAACAUCUGUUCAUUCCUCACUGUCAUGAUG